rnacentral:rRNA from 1 species
GACGAACGCUGGCGGCGUGCUUAACACAUGCAAGUCGAACGGAAAGGCCCUGCUUUUGUGGGGUGCUCGAGUGGCGAACGGGUGAGUAACACGUGAGUAACCUACCCUUGACUUUGGGAUAACUUCAGGAAACUGGGGCUAAUACCGGAUAGGAGCUCCUGCUGCAUGGUGGGGGUUGGAAAGUUUCGGCGGUUGGGGAUGGACUCGCGGCUUAUCAGCUUGUUGGUGGGGUAGUGGCUUACCAAGGCUUUGACGGGUAGCCGGCCUGAGAGGGCGACCGGCCACAUUGGGACUGAGAUACGGCCCAGACUCCUACGGGAGGCAGCAGUGGGGAAUAUUGCACAAUGGGCGGAAGCCUGAUGCAGCAACGCCGCGUGCGGGAUGACGGCCUUCGGGUUGUAAACCGCUUUCGCCUGUGACGAAGCGUGAGUGACGGUAAUGGGUAAAGAAGCACCGGCUAACUACGUGCCAGCAGCCGCGGUGAUACGUAGGGUGCGAGCGUUGUCCGGAUUUAUUGGGCGUAAAGGGCUCGUAGGUGGUUGAUCGCGUCGGAAGUGUAAUCUUGGGGCUUAACCCUGAGCGUGCUUUCGAUACGGGUUGACUUGAGGAAGGUAGGGGAGAAUGGAAUUCCUGGUGGAGCGGUGGAAUGCGCAGAUAACAGGAGGAACACCAGUGGCGAAGGCGGUUCUCUGGGCCUUUCCUGACGCUGAGGAGCGAAAGCGUGGGGAGCGAACAGGCUUAGAUACCCUGGUAGUCCACGCUGUAAACGGUGGGUACUAGGUGUGGGGUCCAUUCCACGGGUUCCGUGCCGUAGCUAACGCUUUAAGUACCCCGCCUGGGGAGUACGGCCGCAAGGCUAAAACUCAAAGGAAUUGACGGGGCCCCGCACAAGCGGCGGAGCAUGCGGAUUAAUUCGAUGCAACGCGUAGAACCUUACCUGGGUUUGACAUGGAUCGGGAGUGCUCAGAGAUGGGUGUGCCUCUUUUGGGGUCGGUUCACAGGUGGUGCAUGGCUGUCGUCAGCUCGUGUCGUGAGAUGUUGGGUUAAGUCCCGCAACGAGCGCAACCCUUGUUCACUGUUGCCAGCACGUUAUGGUGGGGACUCAGUGGAGACCGCCGGGGUCAACUCGGAGGAAGGUGGGGAUGACGUCAAGUCAUCAUGCCCCUUAUGUCCAGGGCUUCACGCAUGCUACAAUGGCUGGUACAGAGAGUGGCGAGCCUGUGAGGGUGAGCGAAUCUCGGAAAGCCGGUCUCAGUUCGGAUUGGGGUCUGCAACUCGACCUCAUGAAGUCGGAGUCGCUAGUAAUCGCAGAUCAGCAACGCUGCGGUGAAUACGUUCCCGGG